rnacentral:tRNA from 1 species
GCCUUCUUAGCUCAGUCGGGAGAGCGUCCGGUUCACAUCCGGAAGGUCGCUGGUUCGAUCCCAGCAGAGGGCA